rnacentral:rRNA from 1 species
GGAUAGUGGUGAACGGGUGAGUAACACGUAGGUGACCUGCCCCGAAGAGGGGGGUAACCGCUGGAAACGGCGGCUAAUACCCCAUGUAGUCGUGAGGGUUAGAGGCCUCAUGAUUAAAGCUCCGGCGCUUUGGGAGGGGCCUGCGGCUUAUCAGCUAGUUGGUGGGGUAAUGGCUCACCAAGGCAAUGACGGGUAGCUGGUCUGAGAGGACGAUCAGCCACAUGGGCACUGAGACACGGGCCCGACUCCUACGGGAGGCAGCAGUGAGGGAUAUUGCGCAAUGGGCGAAAGCCUGACGCAGCAACGCCGCGUGGGCGAUGAAGGCCUUCGGGUUGUAAAGCCCUUUUCUGGGGGAAGAGGAAGGACGGUACCCCAGGAAUAAGUCCCGGCUAACUACGUGCCAGCAGCCGCGGUAAGACGUAGGGGACAAGUGUUAUCCGGAUUCACUGGGCGUAAAGCGCGUGCAGGUGGUGCUUUAAGUUGGGCGUGAAAUCUCCCGGCUUAACUGGGAGGAGUCGUUCAAUACUGGAGCACUUGAGGGCAGGAGAGGAAAGUGGAAUUCCCGGU